UACGUAGGUGGCAAGCGUUGUCCGGAUUUAUUGGGUUUAAAGGGUGCGUAGGCGGUUCUCUAAGUCAGUUGUGAAAUACGGCAGCUUAACUGUCGAGGUGCAAUUGAUACUGGAGGACUUGAGUACUGAUGAGGUAGGCGGAAUGGACGGUGUAGCGGUGAAAUGCUUAGAUAUCUGGAGGAACACCGGUGGCGAAGGCGGCAUCCUGGACCGGUAUUGACGCUGAGGCGCGAAAGCCAGGGGAGCAAACGGG
rnacentral:rRNA from 1 species